rnacentral:misc_RNA from 1 species
GAUGAAGAACGCAGCGAAAUGCGAUAAGUAAUGUGAAUUGCAGAAUUCAGUGAAUCAUCGAAUCUUUGAACGCACAUUGCGCCCGCCAGUAUUCUGGCGGGCAUGCCUGUCCGAGCGUCAUUUCAACCCUCGAACCCCUCCGGGGGGUCGGCGUUGGGGACCUCGGGAGCCCCUAAGACGGGAUCCCGGCCCCGAAAUACAGUGGCGGUCUCGCCGCAGCCUCUCCUGCGCAGUAGUUUGCACAACUCGCACCGGGAGCGCGGCGCGUCCACGUCCGUAAAACACCCAACUUCUGAAAUGUUGACCUCGGAUCAGGUAGGAGUACCCGCUGAACUUAAGCAUAUCAAUAAGCGGAGGA